rnacentral:misc_RNA from 1 species
AUUCUUCAUAUGGGUCUUGAUGAAAGUUGAAGUGCAAGAACAUUUCCUCAUUACGGUAAGUGUAUGGGUGCACCUGUAGAUUAUGGGAAUGUGCUCUGGCAACAAGAUCUGUAGGUGUCUGCAAAUAAUUAUUUACCACAGGAACAACUGUAUCCUUCCAGGGUCCAAUGCCCACCACGUAGUCCUUAAUGUAGUCCAGAUAAGCAUCAGAAGUGAUUUCCCAAUAUGACUGAUUAGUGUCUUGAGUUGGAAUGGUAACAUCAUCAAUCAAGAAGAUUUUGGGUGAGUCUAUCAGAUCUGAUGCNNNNNNNNNNNNNAGCAAAGGAUUGUAUAAAAACAGGUUGUUUCAGCCAAUCUUUUGACAUAUAUGAGCCUGUAUAUCC